CAGGAGGUGAGCUAAGCUGAGUUGAGCAUGAAACUGAGUGGGACUGACUCGAGCUGAACCGAAGGGGGCUGAGGGCCGCCAUGCAUGCCAUUCCCUACACCUGAGGCUCUUCCACUCGCUCUCCAACUGGCCAACUCCUCCAGAGAGUCGCCACCCUCAACCCCAGGUCAAGACAGAACUUCGGCAGCAGCCCAGAAGGCUCCCCCAUCCCCCUUCCCAAGCAAUAACUCCUCCACCCACAAAAGGAACCACUGUUUUGACUUCUAGAUU